GGUCCUGUUUUCCUUUAAAGUUUGAGUGGGCAACACAGGGUGCGCCUUGUUUAAACACAAAAGCACCAGGCCAGUCCUGGGCUAUGCUGGAGCUGCGGCCGGACCAGGGGCAGACCCAGGCUAGAGAAGGAUUUGGGGAUUUUAGAAGCCCAGGCUGCAACAGAGGCGACCUCUCCAAGCACAGCUGUGCCCGAUCCGUCAUUUCAAGUCGCGGAGCCGUUGAAACAAGCCAACACCUGAGGCCUUACACUGCCCCCAGCUGAGGCGCACCAGUGUGAGUCACUCGGCCUCCUCCUGACUCCAGCUCCAGGAAGGACACCAUUGCUGCAUGUCCCCAGUCCUCCACGGCACCAUGAAAGGGUUAACGUGGGGCUCCAUCACGACACAAGUCUGUGUUUAUCUGCUGCAAAGUAAGCCACUUAGGUUUCUGAUUUACAAUCCUCAGUUUUCAUAAAAGUCAGUCAUUCCCACUAAAAGAAUGUGGGUUAGAUUUAUAGGAUCUGCCUUUGUCUUUAAAGCCCAAAGCUGGUCUAUGACUCACUCUCCAUGUUUUUGCUCUCAUCCAGAGAUAUUCAUGGGCACAGAAAAUGAUUCAGAUCUCUGCCCCGAAAAAUAAGACUUUGUGUGGGGGUUGCUAAUUAUAAUGGCGUCAAUUGUACUAUGCUUGUAAACUUGCCGUCAGCGGGGGCCCCCUGGAGCCUGUUUUCCCGGGGGUUUAUUCUUCAAUAAAAUGUGCUCUGGUUUGCAGCUUGGCAUACAAGA